rnacentral:sRNA from 1 species
AGAGCUCUUCUGAGGCAUAGAGAGACUCACUGUCUGUCCUUUCUGUACUUGUGUCAAGGGUGGUACUGUGAGAUGGCCUUGGAGACUUUGCUUCCCUCAGAGCAGGAGCCGCUAAACAGUCCCGGUUCCAGGAGCACAGAACCAGCCUACCCUAAUGAGAUGCAGUAAUCAAUGGCCGGGAGAAAGACAAAGCCACUUGCUGAGCAGCGUGCAAAAGAGGAAGUGGGCUUUAAAAGGCCCCCGACAAACUCUUCGGAGAGCAGCUGAUGCCACUGAAGAGAAUGCCGUGGUAAAGAAAGAUGGACGCCUGACCCUCCUCCAUGUACCUGUAAUGGUUGCCAUAUAAUGUAGUCUUAGUUUGGUUCUAACUUGGACUUUUCCUGGACAGGUGUAAACAAGUAUCUGUUCAUCCAAGGAACUAAUGACAGACCAAAGAAAUGGUUCCAGCCUAGUCUGGCUUGGGACCAGAGAGCUUCCUGGGGUUUCUUACGGGAGCCUUCCUGGGUUUCCAUACAGGAACACAGUGACUCAAAGGCAGCAGCAGUUCUCUAAGGCCCACUGCAGCAUGGACAGUGACCCAUGAAAGCUGUAUUUUUGGAGCCCAUGUGUGGCUUGUAAGUAUCUCUACUAGUUGGGGGACCCCUCUCUCCCUGGAGAUGGUUACGGCUUCCAAGCUUCUAAGUUUUGAUAACUUCUCCAGGUUGGUAUGGUUUGCCUACUUCCUUAAUCUUAUGAACAUCUGGAGAGAAUGCUUCGAUAGAAAAGAAAUGGCCCCACAGCACAAGUCCAGCAUUCUAGAUGUGGCACUAGUAUGGUUACUUUCCAGACCCCACUUCCUCAGAGAGGUUUCUCAGAGUGAUCCUUAAACCUUAAAGGAGAAUUUUAUGAUUCGAGUUCAUUGAUAGUGCCCAGGCAUUUGGCUAGAUAUUAUUUCUGGGUAUGUCUUUAAAGGUGUUUUGGAUGACUUCAUAUCUGGCUUAGUGGACUGGGUAACGGAGCCGCCCUCUUUGAUGUGGGCGAGCCUCAGCCAACCUACCUAAGGCCUGAAGUGAGAAGGAAAGACUUUGUUCUCUUUGCCUGACUCAGAACCGGAACACCCAUCUUCCACCUUUGGGUUUGCACUGGACUGUGGAUGUACCCUCUCUCUCUUGGAUGUCCGUCUUGCUGACUCUCUACCUCCUUCACCCUGUAAACCAAUUUGCUAUAGCAAACCUCUCUCUGAUUUCUUUUCCCAUUGAUUCUGUUUAUCUGGAGAAGCCAGACUCGCACAGGUGAGGCGAAGUGGACAGAACUGGAUAUCUUGUCUGCUUGAUGGUUUAAUUAAUUUCCUUCCUCUAACUAUUUUAAUUAAUUUCCUCCUUUGAACUAUACAAAGGUACAGAUUGAUGAAGGGAUUUUGUAACACUACAAUAGCCUGCUCAUUUCUUCUUCUUCUUUUUUGCAAUGCUUUGUUCUUUAGUGACUUUAGUUUAUAGGCUGGGUUGUUUUCAUGAAUGACCUCCCGCCUGGCUCUCUGGCUAUUUUUGAUCACAGCUGCUGUUCCAGAGAGGCUCCACUCCGGGGAGGCCUGGCAGAAAGGGGAGCAUAUGUCAGGGGGGCUGAGGAAGCUGGCAGAAGCCAUGUCUGUCAGUUCAAUGUUUUAUAAGAGUUCAUGUAGCAAUGUAUAUUAAACAAGUCCCAUGGUGGGAGAAUUAGGAAUAAAUUACCACCAGCAAUUUCCUGUCUGGCAUUGAUCUUGUAGAUUGGAGCUUCAAGACAGGAGUGGACAUUUAUUAUUCUGCCAACAUCAGUAUGGGAUGUUCCACAAAUUUCUCAGGAACCUACCACGACAGAGUCUCAGAGACCAGUGAUGCUAAUUCCACAGAACAUGGAUGAGGCUCAGAGACCCAGAGAGACCUGAGGUUACUCCUACAGAGGGAUGUAAUCCGGCUCUGGUUCUAGUCAGGUUUUGGCAACUGGGGUGCAGAUUUUUCAGAGGGGGUGAAGGAUGGUUUUGAGGUAGCCAAAGUCUGUUGUUACUCAUUGAGGUCCCCAACACGAGUCAUUGGCUGGCAUUCUCCCUACACGCCGAUUCUUAAUGUGUGUUAUAGCUCAGUACCCAGGUAUUUUGAACUCUAGGCCAUUUGGAUUCCAAAGACAUAGCUCCUAGAAGAAACCACUGAGGGCCUGGAUACCCAGUUCUUUAGAGGGAACUUGGCUUCUGACUUGGCUUUGUGUUAGAGGGUGAUAAUCCCCAGCUUGCCUCUGUUACCUGAUGACAGACUAAAUGCUGAAGAGCCUUCAGCAGAUGGAAAAGCCUCUUCCCAGCAAAGCCAUAGGGUUAGUGCUGGUGAGAACAUACCUCUCAUGGGCUGGCAAAAUAGCUAGGCAGUAAAGGAGCCUGCUGCAAGGCUGAAGGUCUGAGCUCGUGGACCUACACGAUAGGAGGAGAGUAUU